UGGGGAAUAUUGCACAAUGGGCGCAAGCCUGAUGCAGCCAUGCCGCGUGUGUGAAGAAGGCCUUCGGGUUGUAAAGCACUUUCAGCGAGGAGGAAGGUGGUGAACUUAAUACGUUCAUCAAUUGACGUUACUCGCAGAAGAAGCACCGGCUAACUCCGUGCCAGCAGCCGCGGUAAUACGGAGGGUGCAAGCGUUAAUCGGAAUUACUGGGCGUAAAGCGCACGCAGGCGGUUUGUUAAGUCAGAUGUGAAAUCCCCGGGCUCAACUUGGGAACUGCAUUUGAAACUGGCAAGCUAGAGUCUCGUAGAGGGGGGUAGAAUUCCAGGUGUAGCGGUGAAAUGCGUAGAGAUCUGGAGGAAUACCGGUGGCGAAGGCGGCCCCCAUGGACGAAGACUGACGCUCAGGUGCGAAAGCGUGGGGAGCAAACAGGAUUAGAUAACCCUGGUAGUCCACGCUGUAAACGAUGUCGAUUUUGGAGGUUGUGCCCUUGAGGCGUGGCUUCCGGAGCUAACGCGUUAAAUCGACCGCCUGGGAGUACGGCCGCAAGGUUAAAACGUCAAAUGAAUUGACGGGGUC
rnacentral:rRNA from 1 species